rnacentral:rRNA from 1 species
UACAGAGGUCUCAAGCGUUGUUCGGAUUCAUUGGGCGUAAAGGGUGCGUAGGUGGCGGGGUAAGUCAGGUGUGAAAUUUCGGAGCUUAACUCCGAAACUGCAUUUGAUACUGCCUUGCUUGAGGACUGGAGAGGAGACUGGAAUUCACGGUGUAGCAGUGAAAUGCGUAGAUAUCGUAAGGAAGACCAGUGGCGAAGGCGGGUCUCUGGACAGUUCCUGACGCUGAGGCACGAAGGCCAGGGGAGCAAACGGG